CCCGGGACAGCACAAUCUCACAUGCCCAUGAUCAGCUACAAUGUUCCACCUCUCCUUAUCACAUUCAUGUGGAACUGACCCACAGCCUCAGCCCUCAAUGACACCCAGAUUCCUGUCCAGGGAUGUGGGCCCUAUGAAGAGAAGCCACAGCCUUCUCCUGGAGGAGACAGAUGCAGAGGAAAUGCCUGCUGAUGCCCAGAGAGGUUGGAUAACAUUGCCUAAGCCACACAGAGGACUGAAGAGAGAGGCUGGAGCAGGAAGACUGGGUGCAGAAGCAUUCGGACACAUAAAUUAGGUCAGCCGCCGGGGGCGAGGAGCCCAGAGCCCUGCUAAUCAUGCUGCAAAGGCUAGAACAAAAUCAAGUGUAAUUAAUUCUGCCCCAGCUUCCUUCCCCCAAGUCGCCAGAUUAGGGCUCCACUGUCCUGGUGACCAGAGACAAUGUGACCUGGGCUGAGAGCCCACCAUUAGGCUCGGAAAGUCUCGGUGAGUUCAAGUCAAGCUCUAUCUAUUUGCUGGGUAUCUCUGGGCAAGCUAUAUAACCUCUCUGAGCCUAUAUUUGGCUAAAU
rnacentral:lncRNA from 1 species